rnacentral:rRNA from 1 species
GUUGAAAAACCAUGGGAUGAGCUGUGGAUAGCGGAGAAAUUCCAAUCGAACUCGGAGAUAGCUGGUUCUCCUCGAAAUAGCUUUAGGGCUAGCGUCGUGUAAUUGAGUAAUGGAGGUAGAGCACUGAAUGGGCUAGGGGCUAUAGUAGUUACCGAACCCUAUCAAACUCCGAAUGCCAUAUACUUGUAUCACGGCAGUCAGACUGCGAAUGAUAAGAUCCGUAGUCAAAAGGGAAACAGCCCAGACCAUCAGCUAAGGUCCCAAAGUGUAAGUUAAGUGGAAAAGGAUGUGGGAUUUCUAAGACAACUAGGAUGUUGGCUUAGAAGCAGCCACUCAUUUAAAGAGUGCGUAAUAGCUCACUAGUCAAGAGAUCCUGCGCCGAAGAUGUCCGGGGCUCAAACUUACCACCGAAGCUAUGGGUGUACACUAUGUGUACGCGGUAGAGGAGCUUUCUGUAUGGGUUGAAGUCGUACCGUAAGGAGCGGUGGACUGUACAGAAGUGAGAAUGCUGGCAUAAGUAGCGAGAAAUAAGUGAGAAUCUUAUUGGCCGAAAACCUAAGGUUUCCUGAGGAAGGUUCGUCCGCUCAGGGUUAGUCGGGACCUAAGCCGAGGCCGAAAGGCGUAGG